GAGCAGAGACUCAGCCAAAGAAUACAUAUUGUCAAUUGUGAAAAGGUCAGUGCGGGAAACAGAUUGUAUAGUUGCUCUGAGUGUGGAAAAAACUUCAGUGACUCCUCAUGCCUUGGAAAGCAUCAGAUGAUAUACACAAGCCAGAAACCGUACAGUUGCCUCCAAUGUGGGAAAAGCUUCUCACAGCGCUCUGUUCUUUAGAGACACAAGCGAUCCCACACUGGAGAGAAAUCACACACAUGUGCAGACUGUGGCAAAGGGUUCUGUGACAAAAAUUCCCUCAGCACACACCAGAGAGCCCACAAAGGAGAGAAACCAUUUGGAUGUUCUGAGUGUGGGAAACGGUUUGGUUAUGCUCCAAAUCUAGUCCGCCAUAAGAAGCUACACACAGGAGAGAAGCCAUACCAGUGCUCACAGUAUGGGAAAUGGUUUUCUCAGCCCUCAGACCUUCUAAGACAUGAGAUGAUCUGCACGGGAGAGAAGCUGCACAAAUGCACAGACUGUAAUAAAGGUUUUAGCCAGAAGGCAUCCCUCAUUGGGCACCAGAGAACCCACACAGGAGAGAAGCCAUACGAAUGCUCUGAGUGUGAAAAGAGUUUUUGUAGUUUUUCUGGUUUCCGUAAACACCAGGGAAUCCACAUAGGAGUUAAACUGUAAGGGUGCUUGGUGUAUAGGACUGUGGUGUGAAACUUUCUGAAAUCUUAGAUGGUGGGGAAAGUGUGGUUCAAUUAUAGGGGAGUCCUAAACAUAUUGAUCAGUUUCAGGUGAUCUGCAGUUGCAGUUCACAGGAUACCCACCCACCCAAUUAUUUCUUAGGACACUAUAGAAUCAGAGGUCUACAAAAAUCACCUUGAUUCAUUUCAUUCAUUCAGGUUAUUUAUAGUCUUCCUUUCUCCCUGAGAUUCAAGGCAGAUUACAUAGCAUCAGUCAAGUAUGAUCAACAGGAUGGGACAUCCAAUGUACGGUGCAAUAGAGUUUGGACUUCAGAAAUCUGAAAACAGACAGAGAUCUAAUACAGAGCUGAAACAAACCAUAAGCGUUUCAACGUGAUGCAUUAAAUGGUAGAGAAAUU